GACGUAGGGGGCGAGCGUUGUCCGGAUUUAUUGGGCGUAAAGCGUGCGUAGGCGGCUGCGCAAGUCGGGUGUGAAACCCCGGGGCUCAACCCCGGAACUGCAUCGGAUACUGCGUGGCUAGAGGUAGGUAGGGGAGAUCGGAAUUCCUGGUGUAGCGGUGAAAUGCGCAGAUAUCAGGAGGAACACCGGUGGCGAAGGCGGCUCUCUGGUCCGAAACUGACGCUGAGGUGCGAAAGCUAGGGUAGCAAACAGG
rnacentral:rRNA from 1 species